CCUAGCUGAUGCAGUCCACUUGCUUUAUCUAAAUCCUGUCGCUGAUAACUUAUUUUGCUUCUCUCUCUCUCUCUCUCUCUCUCUCUCUGACAAGUAAUAUAGACAUUUGGAGCUAUAGAAAUGCUGUGUUAAUUGAGCCGCCUAUUCAAGAAUUCCAGGUGUUUGUACACAUUUCAGUUUGGAAGAAAAUAUUUCUGAAGACAGUUCUUCUUUAUCCUCCUAAACGCUCUAUUCUGAGUGUCUGGCUUGGCCCUGGACCUGGUCGGGGCUAUGUCUCAGCCCACCUACACAGAAAUGGAUUCUUUCACCCACAUAUCCCAGGGCAUGUCUCACACCUCCAUCCUCCUCAUAGUGGUGGGUAUCAUCGUCUCCCUGCUGGCCUUCCUGGGUAGCAUUGGGGCGUGGUCAGACAGCCGUCUGCUCCUUGGAUUGGUGGGUAGUGCAGCACAGUGUGAGAUAUGGUAACUUGGGGCUUUAUGUUUUGGAGAACAGUCAAUCUUCACAUACUAAAUCAUAACCUGUCCUAGCUCUGCCGUGUUCCAUCUUCACAUACUAAAUCAUAACCUGUCCUAGCUCUGCCGUGUUCCAUCUUCACAUACUAAAUCAUAACCUGUCCUAGCUCUGCCGUGUUCCAUCUUCACAUACUAAAUCAUAACCUGUCCUAGCUCUGCCGUGUUCCAUCUUCACAUACUAAAUCAUAACCUGUCCUAGCUCUGCCACGUUUGCAUUUAGCUUUUGGAGAAGUAACAUCUUAGUUGUUUGUACUCUGUUCACACACUCCCUAAUGCUGAUCCUCAGCCUGCAGAUAGUGUCUGGGAUUCUCUUCUAUGUCUUCAGAAACAAGGUAAACAUGACUCUGCUCGGCUGUCUCAACCUACUGCAGAUGAUCACUGUAUGUUUUCCAGGGAAUUCAACUAGUAUUGCUUGAUUGACAAGGGUGAAAAUGCUUUUUGUGUCCUCUGCACCCUCUGGAGGUGGAGAGAAGGAUCACACUGAAAGUCAACGAGGUGAUCGUACAAGCACAGCCCCGGGGAUAAGGUUGCCAUCGUUGACCUAUAGCAUGCAGUAAGCAGCGUGCUAUUCACUCCUUACCAGGGGAAUAGUCUCUGUGAGAAACAAACUUUGAUAGUGUAUAUGUGUGUUUCAGUUCCAUUGUUGUGGUGCAGAGAACUACACUGACUGGCUCCUGCAGAGCUCUCAUGAGAAUAUUCGUUUUGUGCCACACUCCUGUUGCCAUGUGGAUUAUGUGGCCUGUGUGAAAGUCGUCACCACAGACAACAUCUACCAGAGGGGCUCAGAUGGAAGUGAUUACGCUGCAGAGGGAGAGAUAAAUUACAGAGAGAACCUACAGAGCUACAGCCCUUCUCCUUUAUCCAUUCACUCAUUCACUCACUUACACAUACAGGCACGCAAUCACAUGCACAGGAGCACAUGCCCUGCCGCCAGUCCCACCACCUUGCUUCUGGUGGUACAUUUCCACUCCUGGCUAUGUCAGGACAAUGCGCCAGUGUGCUCCCCUCCCUCCCCUCUCGUGGGCCGAGUGAGUGUGCGAGGCAUGAGGGCCAGGGUUGUAAAUUCCUCUGAAAGAGCAGUUAAGAAGGCUCCCAUUAAAACGGGGAUCGACACUCGCCAGAAAGGAGCCGAAGAAAUGAGUCAUCACCUGGAGCCUGAAGGGUUCCAGAGCCUGCAGAAUCACAGAGGAGAGGAACUGUAGAAAUAGAACGGAUAGAACAUACGGUAUCGUUCAUUUCAGAUGUAUACAACUUACGUCAACUAAGUUGAGAUGCCAAGGAAGCAUUGUGAUUAGAUGACAUGAGCGUUAUAAUUGUGAUAUUUAACUACAAUGUCACAUUUCUAUGUUUUCUAAUUUAAUUAUUUGGACAUAUUAAAAAAAAUAUAUAUA